rnacentral:rRNA from 1 species
UACGUAGGUGGCAAGCGUUAUCCGGAUUUAUUGGGUGUAAAGGGCGUGCAGCCGGGCUGACAAGUCAGAUGUGAAAUCCCGCGGCUCAACCGCGGAACUGCAUUUGAAACUGUCAGUCUUGAGUACUGGAGAGGCAGACGGAAUUCCUAGUGUAGCGGUGAAAUGCGUAGAUAUUAGGAGGAACACCAGUGGCGAAGGCGAUUUGCUGGGCCAUCACUGACGCUGAGGUACGAAAGCGUGGGGAGCAAAUAGG